CCAGAGGGCCAGGGCGGGGCGGGCGCUCAGGGCCUGCCCUUGGGGGCGGGACGGCCCCCGGCCUCACCUCCUCCGGAUUCUCGUCGGUCCUGUCCCGCCCCCGCCGCCCUCGGCCUGUCCUUGCAGUCCUGCGUGCGGCCUGGGCGCUGGGGCCGCCCUCGGCCCUGCGGGACGGCGCUACCCUCCCCGUGCAUCGGUGCGGCGCCGUCUGCCGGGCUGUCAGUCUGUCCCGCGCCGUCGGUCCGUGCAGGCCCGCUCCUCCCUGUGGGCCCUCGGCCCUGCGCACCCUCCUCCGCUCGGGCGCCGGCCCCCCCGGGGCCUCUCCGGCCACCGAUCCCGCCAGGGCCCCAGGCGGGACGCGCCUCCGCGGCAGGGACCUGGCUGUGUCCCCUUCCCGGGCCGGCUGAGAACCGCAUUGGCAUUUGUAGAUGGAAGGAAUGACGAAAGGCCCGAGGGCUGGUGGCCACAAAUUCAUUAACAUGGAAGAGUGGGCUGAUGGAUAUUUCUUCACGGACAUUUGGGUUGUUUCUAGUUUUUGCCUGCUGCGAAUAAAGCUCCUAUAAACAUUCCUGGGCCUGGAUCCAGCUGCCCCCCCAGAUCCAGAUCCCAGCCCAGCUGUAGCCUCCAUCGUGGCUGAAGGAGGGUCCCUUGGGUCUGGCGCCUACUUCAGCAGGAAAGCCCGUCUCUCCUUCCGCCACCAGCUGCAUGACAUA